rnacentral:rRNA from 1 species
CAGUAGCCACGGGAAUACAGAGGGUGCAAGCGUUAAUCGGAAUUACUGGGCGUAAAGCGCGCGUAGGUGGUUCGCCAAGUUGGAUGUGAAAUCCCCGGGCUCAACCUGGGAACUGCAUCCAAAACUGGCGAGCUAGAGUAUGGUAGAGGGUGGUGGAAUUUCCUGUGUAGCGGUGAAAUGCGUAGAUAUAGGAAGGAACAUCAGUGGCGAAGGCGACCACCUGGACUGAUACUGACACUGAGGCACGAAAGCGUGGGGAGCAAACAGGAUUAGAUACCCCUGUAGUCCCUGUCUCUUAUAC